UAAUACCAGCUCUCCGAGUGGUGGGGAUGAUUAUUGGGCCUAAAGCGUCCGUAGCCGGCUCGGCGUGUCUCCCGUUAAAUCCAACGAUCCAAUCGUUGGACUGCGGGAGAUACUGUCGGGCUAGGGGGCGGGAGAGGUCGGCGGUACUCCCGGGGUAGGGGUGAAAUCCUAUAAUCCCGGGAGGACCACCAGUGGCGAAGGCUGCCGACUAGAACGCGCCCGACGGUGAGGGACGAAAGCUGGGGGAGCGAACCGGAUUAGAUACCCGGGUAGUCCCAGCUGUAAACGAUGCGGCUAAGGUGUUGGGACGGCUACGAGCCGUCCCAGUGCCGCAGGGAAGCCGUUAAGCCCGCCGCCUGGGGAGUACGGCCGCAAGGCUG
rnacentral:rRNA from 1 species